AGCUGUAGUCCUGGGCAGACUGCUCAGAAAUGUAGUGUCUACCCAUACUGCUCUACACAAACCCCAUAUAUAAAGGAAUGGAUAGAGACAAUUGUUUUGUUCCUGUAAGGAUUGUUGUUGGGGUGUCAACAUAAGCCAUUCUACUUCUUAGUUUCAGUAAUGAUUUUAGGGAUUUGCUCAGGUAUGAGAUCCCUGAUCUGGAGGAUUAGUGGUGGUCUAAAUCUGAAGCAGUACCUUAUCUGAACACUUUCUGCACCUACAGUCUUGCCUUCAGAAGAGCCACCUUGCCUGAGGGGAGUGCAGAAGAAAGACCAAGCUGGGAAAAUCUUUCAUCAGUUCCCAGUGGCGACUCCUCCCUCCCUCAACUAUCAUCAGAAAAGCUACCUUGCUUGAGAGGAGCAGAGGAGAAACAGCAAGCUAGGAAGAUUCCCCAUCGCUUCACACCAGGGUCUCACCCUCAGCUGUUACCAUAAGAGCUUCUGCCUUGCCUGAGAGAACUGGAGAAGGAGCAACCUGGAAAGACUUCCACCAGCUCCUGGCCGUGAUCCAACCUCAUGCACAAUAGUUGUAUUUUUAUGUGUGGGUUACAGUUCUUAUCAAGCAGUGAGCUCCCNGCUGUCUUUGGCAAUGGUGGAGCAGGUGCCAAAGGACAAGGAAAGUUGGGGAGUCUGUUCCAUACCACUUCUAAAGACCAAAAAAGGAUGGCAGAUCAAGGGCUGAAUUGGACCUCAAGUACCUGAAUCAGUUUGUCAAGUACAGGAGAUUCAAGAUGGAGUUUGUUGCUAGCUCUGGAUGAUUUCCUGGCUUCAGUGAACCUGCAGGAUGCAUCAGUAUCUGCUCAAUGUACAAGAGCUUCCUCAGGUUCUGCAAAGAAGAUCAGCAUUUCCAAUUCAAGAUCUUCCCUUUAGUUCCUCUAUGGUACCAUGGGAAUACACCAGANUACAGCCUUAGAGACACUCAAGACUGGAAGAGAUAGCAGUAUGUGCUAACUUAGAAAAUCUUCUGGUCAAAGGAUCAUCAAAACAGCAAGCAAGACAUGAGGUGCAGACAUUCUUGAAUCACUUAUCACNGAUGGGACUUUUAAUAAAUCACAAAAAGAGUAGUCUGGUUCCUGCCGC
rnacentral:lncRNA from 1 species